GCGCACCAGUCGAGAAACUUUACAAUGUGCGAAAGCACGAUAAGGGAACUCUGAGUGCCUCCUAAGGAGGCUGUUCAGGUGUCUAAAAGCACCUGGAGUAAGGGCUGGGUAAGACCGGUGCCAGCCGCCGCGGUAACACCGGCAGCCCAGGUGGUAGCCACUUUUAUUGGGUCUAAAGCGUCCGUAGCCGGUUGAGUAAGUUCCUUGGGAAAUUUGGCUGCUCAACAGUCAAGCUUCCAGGGAAUACUGCUCGACUUGGGACUGGGAGAGGUCAGAGGUACUCCAGGGGUAGGGGUGAAAUCCAUUAAUCCCUGGGGGACCACCGGUAGCGAAGGCGUCUGACCAGACCAGGUCCGACGGUGAGGGACGAAGGCUAGGGUCGGCGAACCGGAUUAGAUA
rnacentral:rRNA from 1 species